GGGGAGUGGGGAGGGGGCAGGCAUGAAGGGAAAGGACGCCUCAGCGGAGGGAGACACCCCUCCUUGGAUGGUUUUGUAGCCUGAAGAACAGCCUAUCACUGUGCUCAGCCCGCUGAAGAACAAUGCACCUCUCUUAGAAGAGGGAACAAAAUACCCAUGGAACGAGUUACAGAGACAAAGUUCGGAGCAGAGACUGAAGAAGGACCAUCCAGAGACUGCCUCACUUGGGGAUCCAUUCCAUAAACAACCACCAAAACCAGACACUAUUGUGGAUGCCAAUAAGAGCUUGCUGACAGGAGCCUGAUAAAGCUGUCUCCUGAGAGGCUCUGCCAGUGCCUGACAAAUACAGAAGUGGAUGCUCACAGCCAUCCAUUGGAUGGAGCACUGGGUUCCCAAUGAAGGAGCCAGAGAAAUACCCAGGGAGCUGAAGUGGACUGAAGCCCCAUAGGAGGAACAAUAUGAACCAACCUGUACCCCCAGAGCUCCUUGGAACUAAACCACCAAUCAAAGAAAACACAUGAUGGGUCUCAUGACUCUAGCUGCAUAUGUAGCAGAGGAUGGCCUAGUGGGUCAUCAAUGGGAGGAGAGGCCCUUGGUCCUGUGAAGGUUCUAUGCUCCAGUAUAGGGGAAUGGCAGGGCCAGGAAGCAGGAGUGGGUGGGUUGGUGAGCAGGGGAAGGGGAGAAGGGAUAGGGAAUUUUCUGAGGGGAAACUAGGAAAGGGGAUAACAUUUGAAAUGUAAAUAAAGAAAAUAUCUAAUAAACAAAACAAAACAAAAAAAAACAAAAACCAACAAACAAACCAGCAUACCCUCACUGCUCGCAUGUGAGGAGCGGGUGUGGCAGCAGUCCCAAGAUUCCCCCCCCCCCCCCCCGAGACUGCAGCUAAGUCUUAUGACUUGCACCUGACUUUCUCAUACACCUGAAAAUAAGCCACGACCAUCGUGAGAGCUGCGCAGGUGCUCCAUGAUGCUGGCGGUGUAAACAAGUCCAUAUUUGGUGGAGACAUGCCCCUGCCACCCUGAUUGGCUGAAGCUGCGUGCCUGGUGAGGUGGUGUGGCCUGCUGUGAGUGGAUGGGGGGCUGAGAGUAUAUAAGCAGACCUCCCUGGGUGCCCGGGGUCCCCGUAGCAGCAUUGAGACCUUCCUGCAAUAAAGGCUGUUGAGAAGAA